UCCUGAAGAAUCCUGAUCAAAUCAGAGAUGUUUUUCAGCAGUGCCUCACAGAGGAGAAGAAACAUAUGAAACAUCUGAUCCCCUUCAUGUGUCGACUGUUGAAUGAGAAGAGCCCAAGUUUGAUGAAGCAUCUGAUUCCAGAUCAGGACCUGAAGAAUACAUCUAACUGGUUCUUCAAGGAGCUGAUAAACACAUUUUUUCCUCAUCUGUGUGAGCAAGAAGAGGCUGAUACUGAGGACAGUGGGCUCCAUGUUGACAUACUGUUCUUAUGCCAGUGCUUGUAUGAGUCCCAGAGUCCUGAAGCAUGCAUCUACCUUCUAGACAAACUGGACUACCAUCUUGAUCUCAGUGCAGAGACUCUGGAUCCUUACCCUUGCUGUGCUGUGGCCUUUGUGGUCACUCAGUCAAAGGAAAGGAAAAUAAGGCUGAACGUCGAGGACGUGAUCAUAUCCGAACAAGGAAUGAGACAGCUGUUCGGAUGCCUUGAAAAUGUCCAAUGGUGUGAUCCUCUGCCUCGACAGCUGUGGGUGAGUUUUCUUCUCAGUGAAGAGCAGAUGGACUUUGUAAAAUUACUCAGCCUUGAUGGAAAUCAGCUGCAUCUUCCAGUUGAAGGUGAAAGACAGCUGUUUGAAAGAGCUGUGGAAGUCCUCCAGAUGGUUAACCAGAUGGUUAAUGUCUGCCUGUACUGGUACAGAGAAACUCCUGACUGCCAGAGUCUGUGUGAGUCUCUGCUAAAGGCUUUGCCAUUCAUCAACUCACUCAGCUUCAGAGGUCCAGUUUCAUGGAGCCAGGAAAAAUACCAUGGGACACUGGAGAAGGAACAAAAGAGGCUGUUCAUGGAUUUAUGCUUGAAAGCAGCACUUCAUGAUGGAC